CGUUAUUAGUUGUUGCAGUUAGAGCUCGCUUGGAUUUCGGAGGUCCUUUGCGGUCCGCCCCUUCGGGGAGCGGGUCGCAGGCCUCCUAUGUUCCUAACGGUCCUCUCGCCGCGAGGUGAGGGGAAUCAACCGCUAGGAUCGUUUACUUUGAGGAAAUUAGAGUGUUCAAAGCAGGCGUAACUCGCCUCCGAAUACGUUAGCAUGGGAUAAUGGAAUACGACUUCGGUCUUGUUUCGUUGGUUUCGCUUGGCUGAAGUAAUGAUUGAUAGGGACAGUUGGGGGCAUUAGUAUUUAGUUGUCAGAGGUGAAAUUCUAGGAUUUACUAAAGACUGACCAAUGCGAAAGCAUUUGCCAAGGAUGUUUUCAUUAAUCAAGAACGAAAGUAGGGGGAUCGAAGACGAUCAGAUACCGUCGUAGUCUCUACCGUAAACUAUGCCGACCAGGGAUCCGGAGAGUUUGCAUGGAUGACUCCCCGGGCACCUUGUGAGAAUCAUAGUGUUUGGGUUUUGGGGGGAGUAUGGUCGCAGCUGACUAAGAUGACGGAGCACACAGAGUGACUGCGCUAUGACUCACACGGGACUACGAGUCAGACACUGUGAGAUGACAGAUGAGCUCUCUGAUCAUGUGUGGCUGCGUCUAUGUGAGAUGCUGUAUCUAAAAAAAAAAAAC
rnacentral:rRNA from 1 species